UAUUAUUAUUGCAAUUUCAUCAAUGCCGUCGGUCCAUAGGAAUGCCGUCUGCGUUACGCAAAUAAGCAUCAGCUACAAGUUUCGGAACAUGUUUAAUCCUGUGAACCAGUUUUCAAUGAACAAGGGAUAAUGCGGGGACUUUCCAUGUCUAAAUGUGUACGUAGUGUGUUAAGUGGAAUAUACGCCUAUGCAAAUCAGCGUUGAUCUCUGCCUUUAUAUACCAAUGAGGCCAAAGAAUGAAACAGAGCAAUUGAAUGUAGGUGGCGUUUUUUCUCUUUCUAAAUCUGACAUCAGUACUUAUGACAGAUGAAUCAGCAACUGUUGAGAGUCCUAAGAUUCGGUUACUUGGUAGCAGAAUGAAUCACCGAGUAGUGGUGAUGAUGUUUUUAAAACGGCGGCACAGAGAAAAUGAAAGAAAAACCGAAGGAAAAGAAAAAACGAGAUGAGAAAGAAUAAGACAAACACGAAACUACCUUCGUCUGAACUUCCCAAUGUGCUGUUCCAAUUAUUGCUGUUCUUGUGCUAGCGACCCGAAACGUUAGAGCAUUUCCUACAGCUCUGUAAUCAGGAGAAUGAAUUGCAGUUUCCAGUGUACUCGAGGGGACAGAGUAGACAAAUGUUCAUCCUGGGCUGUCCUGCCUGUUCAGCUCUGUGGACUUGGAGGCUCUGGCAGGAGGGUGUGUGGCUGGUGACGAACUCACAGUGGAAAACACAGCCCUGCCACGAGUGGGCCUGAAAGAAGAAGAUGAGUAAUGCUUCAGAUGACGGGAGAUUGUUGGUGUGAAAAAAAUCACUGAUUCACCAUGUGCUACAACAGCCUGCUUCUUUUAAAAACAGUGUUGAAAACUGCUAUCAAAAAAUAUAAUCUUACCAGCACACGCUGAGCUCGGUAGCACUGGUCUUUCCAUGUAUGGUUGCAUUUCUGAAGCCCUUAAUUUUCAUGUCAGCUAACAGAAAUGUAUAAAUGUGGGAAAGAUACCACCAAAUGCUGUUGUUUCUUAGAAUAUUAUCGCAUUAUAUGUCCUCAGGUUGUCAUUUUGUUGUAAUGUUCUGGAUGCUUUGGCUCAGUUCUUACUUCACUACGCUUGAGGUUAAUGUCUCUAAGCCAGUGGCGGCUGAGUUCCGGCGUGACUCUUGAGCUCAGAGAGAGCUGGAGUUGAAUUUGAUUUUACAAGGUUUGCCCGGUUCCAUGCGUGUAACACAAUGCAGGCCUUGCCAUGUUUUCAACAUGGCUAUUAGGACUGGGGCUGUGGGCUGAGAUGGCGACAUGUGACAGGAAAAGGAAAUGAGGUAUGUAGCCCUGCGAUGUGAUUGGCUGAGUUGAGAUAUCAAGCCAUAAAAGUGACAGGAAGAAUGCCAGUGUUGGCUCUUUCUUCAUUGAGGCUGAUGAGCUAAGAACAGCAAGGUUUCAGUGGCAGCAAAAUUGGUACCGACAUGAAAAUUACUUUAAGAUAUUAUGAAGUUAAACUGGAAGAUUCCAUAGAGAGGUGAAAGAAGCCCAGGUAAUAAUUUUGAAAACCUAAUAAAAUGUUUGAGAUUUAAA